GUUAGNCCCUUUCCGGGGCUUAGUGCCGCAGCUAACGCAUUAAGCACUCCGCCUGGGGAGUACGNCCGCAAGGUUGAAACUCAAAGGAAUNGNCGGGGGCCCGCACAAGCGGUGGAGCANGUGGUUUAAUUCGAAGCAACGCGAAGAACCUUACCAGGUCUUGACAUCCCUCUGACCGCUCUAGAGAUAGAGUUUUCCUUCGGGACAGAGGUGACAGGUGGUGCAUGGUUGUCGUCAGCUCGUGUCGUGAGAUGUUGGGUUAAGUCCCGCAACGAGCGCAACCCCUAUUGUUAGUUGCCAUCAUUCAGUUGGGCACUCUAGCGAGACUGCCGGUAAUAAACCGGAGGAAAGUGGGGAUGACGUCAAAUCAUCAUGCCCCUUAUGACCUGGGCUACACACGUGCUACAAUGGCUGGUACAACGAGUCGCAAGCCGGUGACGGCAAGCUAAUCUCUGGAAGCCAGUNUCAGUUCGGAUUGUAGGCUGCAACUCGCCUACAUGAAGUCGGAAUCGCUAGUAAUCGCGGAUCAGCACGCCGCGGUGAAUACGUUNCCGGGCCUUGUACACACCGCCCGUCNCACC
rnacentral:rRNA from 1 species